CUGGUUACACUCCUCUGGCCACUCACCGAGUAGACACCCCAGGGCAACUUCCCAUGCGUCAGACCCCGUAUCGCAUCCCCGAAGCGGUACGGGCGAACAUGCGCAAGGAGAUAGAUGAGAUGCUCCAGCUGGGGGUGAUUGAGCCCUCUGACAGCCCCUGGGCAUCUCCGGUAGUACUAGUACCAAAGCGGGACGGCACGACCCGGUUUUGUGUAGACUACCGGAGAUUAAAUGAGAAGACGGUCUCGGACGCCUAUC